ACGGUUACAUAAACGUUAAAACACCGGUUGUCGUAUGAUCACUGAAAUUAAGCAACGUCGAGCCUGGUCAGUACUUAGAUGGGUGACCGAUUGGAAAUACUAGAUACUGUAAG